rnacentral:tRNA from 1 species
CGGGGUGUAGCGCAGUCUGGUAGCGCACUACACUGGGGGUGUAGUGGUCGUCGGUUCAAAUCCGGCCGCCCCGACCA